GGCGCUGAGAUGAUUCUUAAAAGUCCACACCAGGUUUCUCAUACAUAAUUCUUGCGGAUUUGGUUUCUGAUGUAGGGCUGUCGGUCGUAUUGAAUUCGGUAGACAGAAAUCUGGCAUUCCCCUACCAAUCUCUCUGAAAAUCAAUCGUUAAAUACAGAGGUGUGUGCCUAAUGGACUGAAUCCGAUGGAAUUGGAAUUCUAGAUUCCAUUAACUCACUUCCUUUUUUGUUUGUCAGUUUCGGGAAUAUCCCCAUUCAUAGGUCCGAGAUCUACAUCUAUGAAUUAUUAAGGAACUCCAAAUUUUGAAAAGAUGAAUAAACAGGUUUAUAUAAAAAAAAGAUGGCAUGUUGGACUGAAUUCAGUUCCAUCAUUCCUUCAAAUUUCAUGUUUGACAGAUUUUUUUUAGAGGAGGGUGGAAGGAAUUCAAUUUCGUUUUUCUUUUUUAUAAUAAAAGACCAAAAUACCCUUGUAUAAUAUUAAUAUGUUGUAAUAAUUAAGAGUAAGAAAUCCAAUUAUAUAUUUUUACAAUAAACAAAAAAGAUUUAAAAUUACUUAAUUUUUAUGAUCGAAUUACAUUUCAUUUCCUUCAAACAAAAAACACGAUUGAUUAUGAUUCCUUCAGAUUCCUAUUCCUUUGACUGAUUCCAUUCCUUCCAAAAACAUUCUCGGAACCAAUAUUGUUGUUUUCGAAAACUUAGUUCUAAUUUGUUAGUCCAACUUUUCAGUUUUCUUUUCUUUAACUCUUUUUUUUUACUGGAUUGCUUUAUGAAAUGCAUACAUGGCGAUCUUACUAUUGAAGCAAUCAACACUUAUGCGUACUUUGGUAUCAGUCUUAUGAUGCCAAAAAUAAUUAAAACUUUAAAGUUUAUUACUAAACGAAUCUCUGAUCUUUCUAUGCAAUUGAUUCAUACUCAUGCAGACUUUUCAACUAUGAUCAGACUCCAACAGCAUCAGGUAAAUCAAAUCCACAAAUUAUACCUCAUAAUACUAAAACUAAAUCACAAAUAUUACUAGUGAUUCACACAUCAUAUAAAGCAAAAAGAAAUAAGAUAUAAAGUUAUGAUCACUAACCUUUGAGGAUAAAAAAUCUGGAAUAUCAAUUUCGGUUGCUGCCAUUGAUCAUAUACAGUCAAAGCAAAAUCUCACAGUUUAAUUCUGUGAGAUAAUGACUGAAAUGUUUUGGUAUGUUUUUAUUUUGAGAUAUGCCUACAGCUUUCAAAACUUCAUACUAUAUAUAUCUAAACCAUAUGGUCCCUUUGAUUAAACCUCUUGAGAAAGUGGGUAGUAAAUGACAAAAAUGCCACUUGGACAUUGCUUUUAGUACAUUUUGUAGUAGGCCUGGUAUCCCAUGGUACUGAAUGAUAUAUCAUAAUUUAUAAUAUCACAUGCUCAUCCAGCCUAAUACACAGAUUUUAAUCCAAGCUGUUAUAUGCUUCUUG